GAAUGGCGCGGCUUCGUGGGGUGCGUGCGGGCUACCGGCGACGAGGUAGGGGCUAGGAUUUGGGGGUUGAGGUCGCCGGAGGGAGGGGGAGCUGGUCGGCUGGGCGGUGUCGCGCACGGCGGCGCGACGGCGGCGGGCUGGGGGAGAGGAAGAACGGACGGAGAG